UCACCUCGUGGUAGAUGAUGCCCUUUU
rnacentral:sRNA from 1 species